GAAAAUCCCAUGGACGGAGGAACCUGGUAGGCUACAUUCCAUGGGGUCGCAAAGAGUCAGACAGGACUGAGUGACAUCAAUUUCACUUUCACUUUGCCAGGUACUGUGUAUGUGACUUUCAAAAUUGCUGCAGUUGACCAAAUGCUCCCCAAGGUGAAGGACAUUUGAAAGGUGAUCCCAUUUUAUGUGUAUUUCAGGAUGUUCAUUAAGUAGGGAGCACUGGAAUCUGAGCAGGACCCUGUGGGACCCUCCAGGUCAUUGUUACCAAAGGAGAAUGAAAGAAGCUCCUCUUUGCAAAGAGUACCUGUUCUCAUUACUGAAUGCCAGUUCAUAUGCCCAACACACAGGGAAGCCAAACAAACUGAAAUGGUGAUGUUUUGAGUAGAGAAAGAUUUAUUGCAGGGCCAAGCAAGCAGAGUGGGUGGCUUAUGUUCAAAGAUCCAAAACUCUCUCAUGGCUUUUGGGAAAAAAACAUGUUUAUAGGCAUAAUUUGAGGUGAAUGCUGUCAGGUGAGUGACUUCCUUCCAAAUGGUUGGUGGUGAGGUAACAGUGGUAGUCCAGGAAUCUUGCUCAGCCUAAAGUUACCAUCCUUCACCUGGAUGGGGGCUUCAGUUCUUACACAAGAACUCAAAAGUUCUCUUAAGGAAGAACCAGGACCCUGCCCCCUAGCUCAAUUACUGUUUCUUGACUGCUCCUCCUUUAUUUUUGCAUCCUCUCCCUUCCCUCAUUAGCAACUAUUUGAACCUUCCCUUUGGAACUCUGGGAAGGUCAAGGAGGCUGAAUGAGCCUAUUUCCUACAAACAAGAAACAGGGGGCAAGGAAAGGAUUUGUCCCUGAGAGGGCUCCUCAGAGUCUUGCUGUUUCAUGCUUACUGAUUUUUCCUAUCAUGUCUUCCUAUUAAAAUUAUAAACCCAGUGGGAGCUGACAUUUGAUCAAAUAUUUGUGUUGUUUGUCUAACAGAUUUUAGCACAACUAGCUUCUAAGCAUACCAAAGGUACUUGAAAAAUGCAUAUUAAGAUGAUUGCUGAAUUUCUAUUAGAAACUGACAUAAUUCAUGAAAGUUAAUGAUACACUCAGAUGAAAUUGAAUCUAUGGAACUAAUGGGAAGUAUAUAGUAGCAGUGAAGAGGAAAAAUUAACAUUUUACAUAACCUCCUGCUCAUUCUGCCUCUGUAACUCAGCUUGCUCCUUGCAAAGUCUGGAUCACAUAGGUCACGUGGUCUUGGAAAGUGGGGACUUACAAUACUAGGAACUCGAGCUUAUUUCACUCACCCUUGUUCUGCUCUUUGCAAUUGCCCAGCCCCUAGAAUCCUGCUUAAUCAUGCCUGUCCGUGUAAAGGUCAGGCACCCCGCUUCCUGUCUUGACUGCUGUUCCCGCGCUCGUGAAACCCCUUAGUUUAAACAAACAUAUUAGCAGCUAGUAUUGCCCACUAUAGUCUGUCUAUAAAAACUCUGUAACUCCUUUGUUGGGGGCUCUGAGUUGGAGUGGUAACUCCUCUGGGCCUGCCGGUAUAGUAAACCUGAGUUCUCCAACUUUCCAA